AAUAAACCUGCCUUUUUUUUUUUUCUUUCCUGUUGCUGAAAUCUAUCAGGGUUGUUUUCUCUACACCAUGACUCAGGAAACAGGAGAAGUCAUUUGAGUGAAAAUAAAAAAGAUGAGAAGGAAUACAAGUUGUUGAAUGAGACUUGGCACAGCUCCAGAAUAUUUCUUUAGUUACAAGUAUCAGCUAUAAUGACUUGAAGGUAAAUGUUGCAGUUAAAUCAAGCGGAAAUAGCCAAUGGAAGCCAUUUGAAAAUAAAAAUUUUAAAAUGGAAGGAAAAAAAAGUCUGGAUAAAUACCACAGAACACUCCUAAUUAUGAAGUGGAUGAAAAAAAGGAUACCUAGCGAAAUGGAUGCAAAGAAAUCCAAACAGUUAGUUACAAAUUAACGUGGACAGUAGAAUUUGGAUUAAAACACAAGAUUCAAAUCGAUCUUGCUUACUUUUUUCUUCUUCUAAAGUUUGCAAAUGAAUAGCAAAAGGCCAUUUGAUACUGAAGAUCACUUAGGAAUGACAUUCUGUAAAGGUCGAUAGUGACUAAAGAUGGUAACAGCAUAAAAAUGAUUGAAUAAUAAGACUGCAAAGUAGAACCUUCUAGAUAAGGUACUUGUGCCUUCAGAUACUUGUGCGUGCAAGUGCUUUUUGUACAACUGGAUCAGUCACUAUCCAGACUGUCUCAAUUUCACGUGAAUUGUUUUCUUAUUCUGAAUCAAUAUUUUUAAAAAGUCAUUAAAAUACUUAAAUAUGUUUUUCCUUUUGUGACCUCAACUGCAUCUCAGCAAAGAAAAAUUUUGUGCCUUUUAAAAAUCAGUACCAGUUCUUUGACAAGUGAUUCCUUAUCCUUAUCCUCCUCCUUUCAUCAUAAGAGUUGUUAUGUCUUCAGAAUAGGUUCAGCAUAAAGUCCUCUGCUAGGAAGGAAAGCACACACCCUGUUCAUUUGUCCCAAUGCUAGUGGGAGAAAGCGUGUUCUGUCUUUAAAUCUGUCAGUUUUAAUGCUUAGAAAUCAGGCUUAUUUUCAUCUGGAGUUGUUAGGGCCUUCAAAGUAGGCUUCCUCUCCCCCCAGUAAAGUCUUCAACAAUGCAGGAUGUGUUGAGGCAAAACUGUUUCAAAUUAAGCUAAAUGUCACUCUUUAAGAGUUUCCAAGGCUAAUUCAAAGGACUGUCCUGGAGCUUCAUUUCAAAGUGAUGAAAAAUUGGAAUUCNCUUUUCUUUUAAUAAAUUGUUCUGAGCUAUAUAGAAUAGUUGCA
rnacentral:lncRNA from 1 species